rnacentral:misc_RNA from 1 species
GCUGGGUGGUAUGGUUCCCCAGAAGCCAGUUCUUGUGCUGCCUACUCCUUCAGGGGAAGCGAGCCGCUUGAUGUCAGCCUCCAUCCUGCGCCCCCAACGGGCGCAGGAGGACAACAAAGCACCCCCCGCGUUCCACCGAACCUCCUCGGUCACGUGGUGCGUGGGGACGUGCGAUGCUCUCGGACCCAGCGAACGUCGUGGGCGAGGACUCACGUCCUAGUCUCGAUAGAAGCUCCCACAUAAUGCUUGAUGUAAGCUCGGCGUCGCG